ACUCCUGUGGCUCAGUGGUUAGAGCGCGGUACUUAUAAGUUGUGUUAUGUUAACAGCAGAGUUAUGCUGAGGUCGCGGGUUCGAUCCCCGCCAGGAGUA
rnacentral:tRNA from 1 species